rnacentral:rRNA from 1 species
UACACGACCGUACCGCAAACCGACACUGGUGCGCGAGAUGAGUAUUCUAAGGCGCUUGAGAGAACUCAGGAGAAGGAACUCGGCAAAUUGACACCGUAACUUCGGAAGAAGGUGUGCCUUUAGUAGGUGAAGGGAUUUACUCCUAGAGCCCAAUGAGGUUGCAAAAAAUCGGUGGCUGCGACUGUUUAUUAAAAACACAGCACUCUGCAAACACGAAAGUGGACGUAUAGGGUGUGACGCCUGCCCGGUGCUGGAAGAUUAAAUGAUGGGGUGCAAGCUCUUGAUUGAAGUCCCAGUAAACGGCGGCCGUAACAAUAACGGUCCUAAGGUAGCGAAAUUCCUUGUCGGGUAAGUUCCGACCUGCACGAAUGGCGUAACGAUGGCCACACUGUCUCCUCCUGAGACUCAGCGAAGUUGAAAUGUUUGUGAUGAUGCAAUCUCCCCGCGGAAAGACGGAAAGACCCCAUGAACCUUUACUGUAGCUUUGUAUUGGACUUUGAACAGAUCUGUGUAGGAUAGGUGGGAGGCUUUGAAGUAGGGUCGCUAGAUCUUAUGGAGCCAACGUUGAAAUACCACUCUGGUGUGUUUGAGGUUCUAACCUAGGUCCAUUAUCUGGAUCGGGGACAGUGCAUGGUAGGCAGUUUGACUGGGGCGGUCUCCUCCCAAAGCGUAACGGAGGAGUUCGAAGGUACGCUAGUUACGGUCGGACAUCGUGACGAUAGUGCAAUGGCAUAAGCGUGCUUAACUGCGAGACUGACAAGUCGAGCAGAUGCGAAAGCAGGACAUAGUGAUCCGGUGGUUCUGUAUGGAAGGGCCAUCGCUCAACGGAUAAAAGGUACUCUGGGGAUAACAGGCUGAUACCGCCCAAGAGUUCAUAUCGACGGCGGUGUUUGGCACCUCGAUGUCGGCUCAUCUCAUCCUGGGGCUGUAGCCGGUCCCAAGGGUAUGGCUGUUCGCCAUUUAAAGAGGUACGUGAGCUGGGUUUAAAACGUCGUGAGACAGUUUGGUCCCUAUCUUCCGUGGGCGCUGCAGAUUUGAGGAAGCCUGCUCCUAGUACGAGAGGACCGGAGUGGACACACCUCUGGUGUAUCGGUUGUCACGCCAGUGGCAUUGCCGAGUAGCUAAGUGUGGAAGAGAUAACCGCUGAAAGCAUCUAAGCGGGAAACUCGUUUCAAGAUGAGAUCUGCCGGGGCCUUGAGCCCCCUAAAGAGUCGUUCAAGACCAGGACGUUGAUAGGUCGGGUGUGGAAGCGCAGUAAUGCGUUAAGCUAACCGAUACUAAUUGCUCGUGCGGCUUGACCU